rnacentral:tRNA from 1 species
CAGGAAAUGGUUUAAUGUAGAAUACUGGCUUUGGGAGUUGUGGGAGAGAGAGGUUUGAGUCCUCUUUUUCUGA